UAGAUGAUUAACAGCCGCCUGUGGGA
rnacentral:piRNA from 1 species